CACAGAGUUAGCCGAUGCUUAUUCCUCAGAUACCGUCAUUGUUUCUUCUCCGAGAAAAGAAGUUGACGACCCGUAGGCCUUCCACCUCCACGCGGCAUUGCUCCGUCAGGCUUUCGCCCAUUGCGGAAAAUUCCCCACUGCUGCCUCCCGUAGGAGUCGUGGGCCGUGUCUCAGUCCAGUGUGGCUGAUCAUCCUCUCGGACCAGCUACUGAUCAUCGCCUUGGUAAGCUAUUACCUCACCAACUAGCUAAUCAGACGCGACGCCCCUCCGUUGGGCGGUAUUUCUCCUUUUGCCUCCUCAGUCCGUACGGGGUAUUACGCCUAACCGUUUCCAGUUUGUUCGUUCCCCUCCCGAAGGGCUAGGUUCUUACGUCGUUACUCCGUACCCGUUCGCCUACGUAGGAAACCACCCUACCUUCCCCGUUCGACCUUGCC
rnacentral:rRNA from 1 species